UCCGAAUAAGCAAGUGUAGGUAGUGAGUGUGAGCUUUGCUGGGUACUUCUUUAAAAGUGGAUCUUGAAGUACCAACCAACUUGAUCUUGCUAAACAAGCCCCAAACAUGAAGAUGCAUCCUAAAGUCCAUUUGCUUAUUACAUCUGUUUGUUGUAGUGAUGAUGAAUUGAGGAGAAGUACAGGACCUUUGAAAAGAGUUAUGACAAUAGCUCCUACUAUUGUUGUUAAGGUUCCAACCAGUUUCCCCCAUCCAUAUCUUUCAGUCAGACUCACCUUCUCGAUCCUCAAUCCCACUGACAUGAUGAAAAUCAUCGCCGGAACGGUGUUGAGGAUGGCAGAAGAGAAGGUUGAUGAUAAGUAAGACAACCCCAGAAGAAAUAACCAUUGGUUCAAUGUAAUCCUACAAUCAAUCAACCAUCAACCAUGCAUCAACAAUGGUUUAAAUUAAUGGUUCUGACGAAAUUCAGUGCUUUAGCGAUGGUAUGAUCGUAUCCAAAACAAAAAAAAUAUAAAUAAUGAAUGAAUUAAUGGUGAUUGGAAUUGAAACUUACCCAAUCAGCGCGAUAAGAAAGAAUUGGAGCAGCAAUGAGAGUGUUAGAGGUGGUCUUUCUUUCCUGUUAGUGAUUAGUAGUGGUUAUUGAUCUAUCGAUCAUUUAGACAUUAAUCAUUGAUGAAUUAAAAAAAAAUGCAUAUAGUGAAACUUAACCUACUUUUCGAGAAAAUAUGCAAAAGGUGCCAAGAAUAAGAAACCAAUGAAGUUCCUGUAAGUUGAGAACACAAGUUUGCUUACAUCCGUCUUCAGUGAGAGAGCAGAUACCACAGACAUUCCUGCAGCACAAAUUUGGAGAACCAAAACUCCCAAAAGAAGCUUCAUCGUUCUUCCCGCUAGUUAUCCUCGAUCUCCGGCCUCUUCAGAUCUCCUCUCUUUUAACUGUAAGUUUUGCAAAUUAAUUGCUCUCCGCCUAUAUUAAAUUCCCAACUACAUGGUAGAGGACACUCUCCAUUUGAAUAGAUCCAUAUAAGCAAGUCAGUGAGUCUGAAAAUAUAUCAUGUUAAAAUAUAUGCAACUGGCUUGAAGAUAAAAAUAUAUCUCAGAUACAACAACUCUCUAUAUGAUCAUGGUAAUAAAAUAUAUGCAACUGGCUUGAAGAUAAAAAUAUAUCUCAGAUACAACAACUCUCUAUAUGAUCAUGGUAAUAAAAUAUAUUGUAUGAAAUCAUGAAAACUUCCACCAACGAAUCUCCUUUUGAUUUAAUCUCCCACAUCUCUUCUAGUGAUUCCAGAUUUGUCGGCCAAUUUGACAGAUCCAAGUAAGCAAAUGCAGACAUUGAAUGUGAGCUUUUCUUGGUACUUGUUCAACAGUAGAUCAUAAAAGACCAAUCAACUUGAUCUAAACAUGAAGAUGCAUCUCCAGACUCCAGAUCAAUUUUCUUAUCUCAUAUGGUAGGUAGGUAGAGUGAUGGUGACUGACUUAAUGUCAGCAGGGAUAACAAUCUAUAUGUUUUCCUUUAUCUAUAGUUAAUUAGCAGUGACAAACUUGAUAUUUGUUGAUUGAAUUUUGACUCUGUGAGAUUGCAAUAUUAUUCUCUAAGAUUAAUAGUAGUUAAACAUAAUGAUUAAGACCUUUAACACUUAAUAAAUAGGGUCAGUUUCAAGUGAGAUUCACUAUAAAUAUCUUUUGAGAAUCCAUAGACUAGGCAUUUCCCGAUGCCUGGCACUAGGAAUGGGCAUGUUUCGGGUUUGGUUCAGGUUUAUUCUCACCGGAACCUGAGUUUUGAAAUCGAGUUUGUAUCAAAAUCCGAAAACGUCUAAAAUUAUAGAACCUGAACCCGAUUUGGAAGUUAGGUUUGGUCGGGUUCAAUCGGACUUCGAGUCUAAUAAUUUUUUGAAAAGAAAUGCAUAAAAAAUCCUGUUAUUUAAAUAAUUUAAUCAAAUAAUUUUGAAAACCUUAAAUAAGAUAAAAUAUCAAAUAAUUUUUAAAUAAUUUUUUAAUGAAAGACUCAAAUGUGAAAAUGAAUCCGACAACGACAACAGCGAGGAGAUGGAAGAUGAAAAUGGAAAAGGAAAGAAAAAUGAUAAUAAUAUUAAAUGUCUAUAUUAAAUUUUUAUAAAAUAUUUUAUAUAAAAUGAAAUUUUCUUUAUAUUAAUUAUUUAUAUUUUAAGAUUUUUUAUAAAUUUCUUCGGAUUUCGGGUGAGUCGAGUUUGGUUGAGGUCUUACCCGAAUCCGACUCAAAAAAAUCAUGUAAAAAAAACUCGAAUUCGUAUCUUUCAUAUCUGGUUUUAUGAUCGACAAUAUCUACCUAACACUUUAUGCGAUACAACGAAUUCUCGUUAUUAUAUUAUAUAAUGUUAUAAUUACAUAAUAUUUUAUUUAAAAACAGGUGGUUUUGUGUUGCCUUGAUAUUAUGAGUCGAGCGAAUGACUCGUCUUUUCCUCACCCCUACUUUUUACUGGUCCCCUCAUUAAAGAUCAAAGUCUAUUUUAUAAUAUUAAUAAUUUAACAUAUAUACUAGUAGGGAUGCAAAAAAAAAAAUUGAUAUUCGACAAACUGUUUGAUUCGAUCCGGGUUCGAUCCGGUUAUUAAACGAACCAAACCUAAAUCUUAUGAAGCGAUCAACAUUCCUACACUCCAAAUCCAAUCAGCAUUUAAAGAAAAACUGAUCAAAGAUCAAACCAUCGAAGAACAACCAUAAGAGAUUUCAGUCAAUAACGUCAUCCGAAGGAGCAACCGUCGGAAGGAUUCUGUUGGUAUCAGGGACCGUCCAAACGGCCUCCUGACCAAACAGGUCCAUCAAGGCCCAGUAAGCCCAAGGGUUUAGGCUAUAAAUACCUCCCCUGGUUCAACAGGGAAGGGGAUCGAUUAUUAUAGUAAACACAAUAUUAGAGAGUUGUGUGUGUAAGCACCCUAGCGCGAGCCCACACACCAUCAGAUUCAAAUCAACAAAACGACUACAUAUAUUAUUAGAAAAAUAUAUCUUUAAUUAUCUCAUGUAUACGAUGUUGGAUUGAUAAGAUUCAUCAUCGUUGAAAGGAGGAAUGGAGAUGAGCUUGUGAGUCAUGUAGACGAUGGAUGUAAGGAAAAAAUAGAAAAUAAGUUUUGGGAAAUCAAAAGCUUGGUGAUGUCUCUUUAUUAAGUGUAUAUUUAUACGGUAAUUUUCAGGUACGCCGUACGUCGGUGUACCAAAAUACGUCGUUCGCAUCAUGUCCUUUAAUUUUUAAUCAAAUAUAGCUACAAUAAUGUACUGCAUAAAACAUUAACACAUUUACGAUAAAAAAAAUGUACAACAAAAGACACUAACUCAUGUACGACGAAAUGUCGGCCAAAUAGUCAGAAUUUUUUGGCGCAUUAAAAUUCGCACACAAGAAACUUACCCUAUAUUUAUAUACACUUAGAGUAACAAUCCACUUAUAUUGUAGUGGAGAUUGUUACCAUAAUAUUGGAAUAAUAGAAUAUAAGUGAUGAGGGUGGAACCUGACCAAUGUUCGGCGUCGCUUCGAACAAGCGCCAGAUGGGGAACUUUGCGGGGAAAUCAGGCCGGGACUCAGUUGCUCAAAGCUCAGCUUCGUUGGGACUUCUCCACUCUCAAUGAUUUGCCCAAAUGAGUGAGAGGUGCCUCAUAUUUAUAGGACUUUUUAUGGGGGGCAAUCUGAUCAUUUGGGCCAUAACCACCUAACUGACCAGAUCUGGUCCCUAAUCGACUUUUCCGGGAUCGACUUUCUUAAGGUCCGACUUUUCUAGAGUCUGACUUCCUGAGAAAGUCGAGUUCUAGGAAAGUCGACCUCUGAGGAAGUCGAUCUUCCCAGGUGUUGACUUGGGACCUCCCCAAACCUGGAAUAGGUGUUUCAGCUCAUCUUGGGUUAUCCGAACCUCUAGUUGCUGGUGCGUUGUGACCAAGUUCGGGAUAUUGUAUCACCAAUAAGUAUUAUACAGUUUGAUAAUUAUAAUAUUUGUAUUCCAAUACCUCCCCUCAAGAUGGCGUGGAUUGAUCAACAACGCCGAGCUUAGAUUUUAUCUCGAGAAAUCGUGAUGAGGGCAAUGGUUUUGUAAAACCAUCCGCGAUUUGAUCUCUCGUUAAUAUAUGUGUUACCUGUAUUGUUCCAUCUUGAACUAAUUCUCAUACAAAAUUGAAAUUGAGUGUCAUAUAUUUCAUCCUGGAGUGAAACACUGGAUUAUGUAUCAGAUAUUUUGCGCCUAGAUUAUAUGUCCAUAGUUGUGAGCAGGUAACCUGUAUUACUCAAAGUUCUUUUAAUAAAUUUUGUAUCCAUACAAUUUCCGAGGAAACAUCAGCCAGAAUACGAAACUCGGCUUCUGUAGACGAUCGUGCAACUGUAGGUUGUUUUUUGGCUGAUCAUGACUCUAAACUUUUCCCGAUAAAUAUUUCAAAACCUCUCGUACUUCAUCGAUCGUCUUGACAUCUUACCUAAUAUGUAUCGAUUCUGUAUAACCAUGAUGGAGUGAACAAAAUUCCAUGAUUGCUAGUACCUUGUAAAUAUCUCAACGCCUGUUUCGUUUCUGUCCAAUGUAGUGUGGUGGGGUUUGGGAGAUACUGAUACAAUUUGUUUAUCACAAACGAUAUAUCUGAUCGAGUGUUUACAAGAUACAAACAACUUAUCUUCGAAUGGUACUCCGUCAGUUGAAUUUAACUUCAUAGACGUUGACAUAGGUGUGGGUGCAGACUUGACCUUGUCCAUUUUUGUUCGACCCAAUAAGUCACACGUGUACCGAUGCUUAGAGAGGACAUACCCCCCAGUUGUACAAAUCAGUAUUUGUAUACAAAAUUCAGUUUAUAUACUUUAUUCAGUUUAUACAAAAUUCAGUUGUAUACCACAUAACUUAUCAAAAAAUAUUAUCUUUAAGAUACUCAAGAAAAUAGAUAUAUAUUAUUUUAACAGAUCUCCUCAUUUUCAUUCAGAAGUCUCUGGUUAAUAUCAUGUUCUUGGCUGGUCUGAUCAUUAGAUAUUUCAUUUUGAUUAUUCUCCCCACUUCUACCUCAUAGCACCAUGUAAAGUCCAAUCACAAUGAUCAAACCGCCAAUAAUCCUGUGAAAAUUUAACUCAAUUAACUAAAAUCACUUCCUUGUUUCCUGUUAUAUAUAAUUUUUAAUCAGCUUACCCUCCAGAAUAUAGUUUGUCCCCAAGUAAAAAGAAACCCAAAACAGCAGUUGCCAUGGUUUUGACCGGAUCGAAAAUCCCGACAAAGAAUGGUCCUCCGCCAUUAAUGCACCAUGCUUGAAGAGGAAAACACAUCCCUGAUACAAUAACUCCCUACAUAUUAUAUAAAAUCAUGAACAUGAUUGAUCUCUAUUAUUAUAACGAUCGUCGCCGUCAUAUAUAUUGGAAGCUCACAUUAUAGAGCAAAGCUAACAACACUCCUCUUGAUUCAAACUUCCACAUCUCGACGUCUCUCUCAGUGAUUGCCGAGAUGGCCGCCAAUUGGAUUGAUCCGAAUAAGCAAGUGUAGGAAGUGAGUGUGAGCUUUGCUGGGUACUUCUUUAAAAGUGGAUCUUGAAGUACCAACCAACUUGAUCUUGCUAGACAAGCCCCAAACAUGAAGGUGCAUCCUAAAGUCCAUUUGCUUAUCAUAUCUUUUUGUGGCAGUGAUGAUGAAUUGAGGAGAAGUACAGGACCUUUGAAAAGAGUUAUGACAAUAGAUCCUGCCAUUGUUGUUAAGGUUCCAACCAGUUUCCCCCAUCCAUAUCUGUCAGUCAGACUCACCUUCUCGAUCCUCAAUCCCACUGACAUGAUGAAAAUCAUCGCCGGAGCGGUGUUGAGGAUGGCAGAAGAGAAGGUUGAUGAUAUAUAAGACAGUCCCAGAAGAAAUAACCAUUUGUUCAAUGUAAUCCUACAAUCAAUCAACCAUCAAUCAUGCAUCAACAAUGCGUUUAAAUUAAUACUGCGGGGUUCUGACGAAAUUCAGUGCUUUAGUGAUGGUAUGAUCGUAUCCAAAACAAAAAAAAUAUAAAUACUGAAUGAAUGGUGAUUGGAAUUGAAACUUACCCAAUCAGCGCGAUAAGAAAGAAUUGGAGCAGCAAUGAGUGUUAGAGGUGGUCUUUCUUCCAUGUUAGUGAUUAGUAGUGGUUAGUGAUUAGUAGUGGUUAUUGAUCGAUCGAUCAUUUGAAAUUAAUCAAUGAUGAAUUAAAGAAAAUCUGCAUAUAGUGAAACUUAGCCUACUUUUCGAGAAAAUAUGUAAAGGGUGCCAAGAAUAAGAAACCAAUGGAGUUCUUGUAAGUUGAGAAUACAAGUUUGCUUACAUCUGUCUUCAGAGAGAGAGAGCUGACACCACAGACAUUCCUGCAGCACAAAUUUGAAGAACCAAAACUCCCAAAAGAAGCUUCUUCAUCGAUCUUUCGGCAAGUUAUCCUCGAUGUCCUCUUCCUGUGAUUAGCAAGUCAUCUACGUAUGCUAGUAUAAAUAUCUUGCUUGUUUCAUUUAUUUUCAUGAAUAGUACAUAGUCUGACUUGGUUUGUUUAAAUCCCACUUGUAAUGCCACUUGUAAUAUCACUUGCUAUUUUAAUUUAAUAGAUAUAUCAUAGAUAUAUUUACACAUAAAAAAAACUAAGAUUUAAACAGACCAAGUCAGACUAUGUACUAUUCAUGAAAAUAAAUGAAACAAACAAGAUAUUUAUACUAGCAUACAUAGAUGACUUGCUAAUCACAGAAAAUAAUCUAAAAGAAAUAAUACAACUAAAGAAAGAAUUAACUAGCAAUUUUUUUUACCAUAAAAAACUUAGGAAAAUUAAAAUAUUUUCUAGGAUUAGAAUUCACAACAAAACAAUGAUUAUAUAUGAGUCAAAGAAAAUAUGCAACUGAAAUCUAGAACAACCUAAUUAUGUACAUGCAAAACCAGGAGAGUAUCCAUUAUAUACUAGUUCUAGUCAUAAUUCCAAACAGAAUCAAAAGGAAGAAAUUCUUGAAGAUCCUACUGUAUACAGGAAAAUAGUUGGAAAACUCGUAUAUUUAACAGUCACAAGACCAGAUAUCAUGCAUGCAGUUAACUGUCUAAGUCAACAUAUGGCAAGGCCUACAAAUGAAGAUACAAGAAAAGUCAACAAAGUACUGAGAUACAUAAAAAGCUCACCGGGUCGUGGACUCUUCUUUUCAUCAGUAUCGCACACCUCCUGGAUCAAGGCUUUUUCAUACUCAGAUUGGGCUGCUUGUCCAACCACGCGAAGAUCGACGACAGGGUUCGCCAUAUUCCUUAAUGAAAACCUGAUUUCAUGGCAAACCAAAAAGUAACACAGGAUUGCAAGAUCAUCAACAGAAGCAGAAUACCGAGCUCUAGCAUACACGACUUGUGAAAUAACAUGGCUACGACAUCUACUAGAAGAACUAAAAAUAAAUGUACCUGCAACAACGACACUCUUAACAGAUAGCUCCUCAGCUGCUGCAAUCACAAACAACCUAGUUCUUCAUCAAAGAACAAAACAUAUAGAGAUUGACAUACACACAAUAAGAGAUAAGGUGUUUAUAAAGGAGAUAAAAAUAAACAAGGUAAAUACGAAAGAAAAUGUUGCAGACAUAUUUACCAAAGAGGUCACCGACACACUCUUCAGAACUCUUCGUGACAAACUCAGAAUAGAAGAUCUGCAUGCAAGCGCAAAAGAUUAAAGAAGGAAAUAGAAGUAGAAUGAGAAGCUAACUACUAUCAGCGGAGUCACCUUUCUGAAUCCGAUGAUCGUUUUCCAAGCUUCCCACUUUUUUUUCAACUUUUCGCGCAAGAAUAGAGAAACCCCUAGUUACGAACAAGAAGCCAAAGUCACAAUACAAAUAUUCUCUUUUUAUACAAACAGUUGGGCCUACCUUCAAUCCAAAAUUUAAGAUCUCCAAACCAAAGUUUUGUAAAUCAAUUGCUCCCCGUCAAUUAAAUUCCAACUACAUCGUCAGUGAGUGUGAGGUUUGCUAGGUACUUCUUCGACAGUGGGUCAUGGCAGACCAAUCAAACAUGACGAUGCGAUCUCUAUUUGUUUAUCAAAUUAUUAGGUAGAUUGAUGGUGGUGAUUUAAUAAAUAUUUGUCUCAUUGGAAUUAAAAAAUGUUAUCUUUAAAAUAUUUAAGAAACUAUAGUAAGAUUGUUUUGAAUGGUUAAUUUCUAGUAGAGGUGAGCUUGGGUCGGGUCAAAUACGAGCCCGACCUGAACAUAUUUAUUCUAAAAGGAUCAUAUCCGGUUGCAACACACGGUUUAUUUAUUUGUCUAUGUUGAUGACAUCGUCAUUAAUUUCUGGAUCAAAUGACGAUAUUGUUGAAACAAUCAUCGUGAAGCUAAGUAAUGAAUUUUGAUUUACGCUGCUUGGCGAAUCUAUCUUUCUUUCUUGGACUUCAGGUAACAUCGGUUGGUCUUGGGUUGCAUUUGAAUCAGGCUCAAUAUCUCAGCAACUUGCUCAAGAGUUGUGAUCUGGUAAACUUGAAGCCUUCUAUCACGCCUAUGGUCAAGAAUCAAGAUCUUCACUCAGUAGAAGAACCCAUCAAAGAGGAAAAAGAAUAUCUACGAAUUAUCGGAUCAUUAUAAUAUCUGAUACUAGCUCGUCCGGACAUUCAAUUUGCGUUCAAUAAGUUAUCACAAUUUAUGUCGACUCCAAAACCUCUUCAUUGGGUUGCAAUGAAGAAGAUGUUGCAGUAUCUCUCUAGGACACAACAGCUUGGAAUUCUACUUACAAAUGUAUCACAUUUUUUUCUUUCUAGUUUUUGUGAUGCCGAUUGGGGGGGGGGUGAUACUAUUGAUUGCAAGAGUCAGAGAGGGUACUUGAUCUAUCUUGGUGAGUCGUUAGUUGCGUGGAGCUCUCGGAAACAGGAUAUCGUCGCUCAUUCAAGCACAUAAUCUGAAUAUAGGACUAUUUCUACCACUAUCACGGAAUUGGAGUGGAUGAAGAACCUGUUGAAGGAGUUAGGGGUUGACACUAAAGGUCCAAUGCAACUCAAAUCUGACAAUUUGGGGGCUACGUUUCUCGCGUCUAAUUCAGCUUAUCAUACAAGAUUAAAGCAUGUUGCAGUAGAUCUUAAAUAUGUCAGAGAACGAGUUGAAGCAGGGUCUGUUAAUGUUACUCAUGUUCCUGGGAGGCUACAACAAGCAGAUGUGCUAACAAAGGCUUUGGAUCCUAAAUCGUUUGCUGAGCAAAGAUCCAAUCUUGUGAGUAAACGAUCCCAAGAUUGAGGGGGUGUAUUAUCUUAAACGAUUUGCUGUCAAUUACAUAGCAGCUAUUACACGUUACAUAUCAAUAAAAUCCUAACCCUAUUGUAAUUUAGGUCAAGAUUUUAUUGACCGUCCUUUUUUGUAUAUAGUAACUCCAACGUUACAUUUGUAUAGUUUAAAUAGCAAUGUAUGCAUGAAUAAAACUCACAUUCAUUUUCCUGAAAAUACAUCUUUCAUAAAAUAUAAUAAAACUAGAUAUAUAUCAUUUUAACAGAUCUCCUCAUCUUCAUUCAGAAGUCUCUGGUUAAUAUCAUGUUCUUGGCUGGUCUGAUCAUUAGAUAUUUCAGUUUGAUUAUUCUCCCCACUUCUACCCCAUAGCACCAUGUAAAGUCCAAUCACAAUGAUCAAACCGCCAAUAAUCCUGUGAAAAUUUAACUCAAUUAACUAAAAUCACUUCCUUGUUUCCUGUUAUAUAUAAUUUUUAAUCAGCUUACCCUCCAGAAUAUAGUUUGUCCCCAAGUAAAAAGAAACCCAAAACAGCAGUUGCCAUGGUUUUGACCGGAUCGAAAAUCCCGACAAAGAAUGGUCCUCCGCCAUUAAUGCACCAUGCUUGAAGAGGAAAACACAUCCCUGAUACAAUAACUCCCUACAUAUUGUAUAAAAUCAUGAACAUGAUCGAUCUCUAUUAUUAUAACGAUCGUCACCGUUAUAUAUAUUGGAAGCUCACAUUAUAGAGCAAAGCUAACAACACUCCUCUUGAUUCAAUCUUCCACAUCUCGACGUCUCUCUCAGUGAUUGCCGAGAUGGCCGCCAAUUGGAUUUAUCCGAAUAAGCAAGUGUAGGCAGUGAGUGUGAGCUUUGCUGGGUACUUCUUUAAAAGUGGAUCUUGAAGUACCAACCAACUUGAUCUUGCUAGACAAGCCCCAAACAUGAAGAUGCAUCCUAAAGUCCAUUUGCUUAUCAUAUCUAUUUGUGGCAGUGAUGAUGAAUUGAGGAGAAGUACAGGACCUUUGAAAAGAGUUAUGACAAUAGCUCCUGCCAUUGUUGUUAAG
rnacentral:lncRNA from 1 species